rnacentral:rRNA from 1 species
AGUGAACGCUGGCGGUAGGCCUAACACAUGCAAGUCGAACGGCAGCACAGUAAGAGCUUGCUCUUACGGGUGGCGAGUGGCGGACGGGUGAGGAAUACAUCGGAAUCUACUUUUUCGUGGGGGAUAACGUAGGGAAACUUACGCUAAUACCGCAUACGACCUACGGGUGAAAGCAUGGGAGCUUCGGACCUUUCGCGAUUGAAUGAGCCGAUGUCGGAUUAGCUAGUUGGCGGGGUAAAGGCCCACCAAGGCGACGAUCCGUAGCUGGUCUGAGAGGAUGAUCAGCCACACUGGAACUGAGACACGGUCCAGACUCCUACGGGAGGCAGCAGUGGGGAAUAUUGGACAAUGGGCGCAAGCCUGAUCCAGCCAUACCGCGUGGGUGAAGAAGGCCUUCGGGUUGUAAAGCCCUUUUGUUGGGAAAGAAAAGCAGCAGGUUAAUACCCCGCUGUUCUGACGGUACCCAAAGAAUAAGCACCGGCUAACUUCGUG